UACUUUUUUUAAUUAACGGUGGCCGUUUAACGAAAUAGGGCAACGCUGAUUAUUCGAAAACAAUAUUUUUAUCGUCAGCACUGCUGAAGUGAAGUAUGGGCUUGCAAAAUAGACCGAACUAAAAUUCCGUUUCCCCAUUAAAGAAAUAGAGACUAAAUUGGAGUAAUAGUAGACAAUGUGCUUCAAAAAUUUCUGCAGCAGGAAGGUAUUUAUCAAGCUAAAUUUUUCCUUUCUUUCUGAACUGUCAAAUAAGACAUAAGCUUUGAAAUAUGUAAGAGAUCUCCUUGUUCCACUAUUUUACGUAACGAACUAACGAUUAUGUCGUACAUAUGCCAUCUAGAAAACAGGAAAUAGUGUAGAUAUUUUGGUUUCUGUAGCAGAGAUAGAGCAAAAAGGAAAAAUCUUGAGAAAUGUGAAACAUGUGUUUGAUGAUCAAAUCACUCAUACCAAUUCGCGAAUUCUUUUCACUACCACAGGAAUUCGUACAUAUGUAUUCGUGGUUGUACUUUUGAUUAAAUGCAAAAAAAAAACACACAAUGUUGGAAACUGAUCAGCUUCUUACUGCAGACUUCUAAAUAUCAUAUUCUUUCGUGCACGCCCUGUGGCCUCGAACGUGUGGUUACGAAUUUUGGUUAGGGAGAAAGCCAUUUGAAUAAUGUCUAAAUUUUACAAAAAAAAAAGUAAUCUCGUGGAAAGCUAAAUUUUUGCUCUAGGGUCUUUCUCUUUCAUUCCUGCGUUUCAAACACAUCGCGCUAUUCGUGCAUCUAUUUUUCCGAAUUUUAUUGACGAGCUUUAGAAAUGUAAAGUAAAUGUUCAACAGUUAAAACGUCGUGUUCAACUGCUGUUAUUGCUAUUGUACAGAAAAGUCAAAACAGCUGCUAUGGGUUUACUAUUAUAAACUGGUCCAUUAGGAGCUAUACAGCACCAGCAAUUAAAGGGAAAAAAAGUUGUAUAGAAUAUUCUUGGCAUACUUUCUACUUUGACCAGCGCUACUGUACAGACAGCCGAAGACCAAUUGUCUUCGGAGGCGCGUCAGCUGGCCACAGGAAAUUCUUCCUGUAUAGUAUUUCUUAUAAUUUAAUGAGGAAAAAAGGGAACACGUAUUCCCACGAUUCACAUUAUACCAUGAGGUUGGUAUCUCUUUCACUUGAAAUCGACUACCGUCACCACAAAUUCCUUUCAACAAUCACUACUAUUGCGAAAGUUAAAUAUUGUGCAUUGGUAACCAGAAAAUAAUACAAAGUAGGAAGUGAAGACUUUCAUACCUUUGUUGUCGAUGCUCAGUCAAAAGAAAGCUAUAUAUAGGAGAUAGGAAACGCGAUUAUUGAAACAGUUCCAACGACGACUCGAGAAACGUCUACUUCUUUUUAGUUUCCUCCGUGUUUUCGAAUUCAAUUAAGUUUUCUCAGUUUCUUCGACCAUUUCAUCAUAACAAAUCGAUCUCGAGGAGAUGGCGGUUAUUAAACUGCUUGGAUUAUUGCUCACCUUGCAAUUCAUGAUGAAUACUGUGUCAACAGCUGGGAUUAAGAGUAGACAAUUGGAUAUACCCGCUUUCAAAGCAUUCUUUUCCCAGAUCCAGUCGCAUUUAGUGAGCGAUAAGGAUCAAGGAUCAACAGGUACCGGUGCUGUUUCAGUUAAAAUUGAAGGACUCAAUCCACCACCCGCUGUUAGCUCUGAUUGGGGGGCUAAUAGCACGUUUGUAAAGAACGCAAACAUGGUUGCUGGAAAUGAUUCCAAAUUCGGAGUAAGUGUAAUCCGAGAUUCAGAAACAUUUAACAGAAAUUUACAUCGUCAAAACGACGGUAACAUGAAAGGGGUGCCAGUAGUGGAAGGCUCACGACCAGAAUCGGAUUUCAGAUCCAUUUCAAGCAGUUCUCACGGAUCGUUUGUGCUCAACCAUAAACGACCUGCUAGUCCUGUUAUCCAAACUGGCAAUUCUCUUGGCGGAAAAUCAGAGCCUUCGCCCUUUCAUUCCCACCAACCGGCACCUAUUCAACCAUUAAAAAGCCAUCCAACCCCUCAGCACUCUCCCCAAACCACAGCCAAUCAAGCGGCUUUUACUCGUGCGGUGCCAUUCCAAGGACCCACUAACGUUCGUGCUACCCCUACAGUAAAUGCGGCAAGUAAUGACUGGAUUCCGAUUUCUCAACCCAUCGGAUCACCAAUUACCACUUCGUAUUCCCAACUGUCGACCAGUAGACCAACCAGCUCUAACGGCCCAAUCUUUGAAGAUACAGCUGAUAAUUUUGACCCAUUCACGUUUAAUAAUGGAAACUCGAACAAAGAGGAAAAAGAAAGCAAAACCAUUGACUCGACCGCCUCUAAUGACACUAAUGAUGUGGUUGACAAUCACAGUGAUCCCAGCUUCUUAACAGGGUUUAGAUUGAAAAAUCCUGAAAUGCAAGAGCCGCUCUAUGGUCAAGUGGUCUCUCCUCCUCAGAAUUAUGCUCCUGUAAGGAAGCCACUUACUAAGCAUACAUACAAGUCUCCGCAUCCUUUAAACAUAAAUCAAAUUAUCGCCGAAGCAGUGGAUCAUAAACCACCAAUCCAACAACAACAAAAACAACAACAACAACAACAACCCUUAUACAAGUCCAGCAAACCGUCGAUCAAAGGAAAAUUAAAAUCUAACCUUCAUUCCACUUUUGGAGUACCGGAAAAAAGUCUUAAAGCAAAUAUAUUCAUAAUAUGGGAAACCAAUUCCCAUAUCCACCGAUAAAAACAGAUCCAUCGUUCCGAUCCUUUGGACUUUUCAAGGGCCCUUCCAACGAUCCUCAAUCGCCAGUUCAGAAUAACUUUGAUGACGGUCUUAGGGAUGAUGUCGGUGUGGUCAGCUCGUUUAGCUACUUCCGCAAUCAGGGACCCGAAGCACCUGGGUCCAAAGGCUUUGACCAAGCUUUCAACGUUCAUGCCGGAAGGAACAUCGCGAAACAAUUCAAGCAACACAUGUUUGACCAAACCGGUUUCCCUGGAAAGAUUCAGUAAAGCCCGAUGGAUCAAAAGUACAGGAUCGAUGCAGGAAAAUAAUAGCGCUAAAUCUGAGAAAACCCAGAUC
rnacentral:misc_RNA from 1 species